CUCAAGCCCAGAGUACCACAGCUUAAACCCAUCAGCGUCCCGCGCCUUCGACCCUUUCCACCUAGUCUCCUGGACGCACGCUAUGUUAACCCUUCGCUGUUGCAGAACCUUCGCCAACUCAAUGGACUUACCCGUCAGAGUACCUAUGUUCCAAGACCCAAUCCUUAGUCUAUGGACGUCCACCGCCCUCUUCCCACCCUUUCCUCCCGCCCUGCCCAAAGUGCCACUCCCUGCGCCCCUACUCACCCCCGCUACCACCCCCACCCCCUGAGGACAUGACCUUACGCUAUCAUCUCCCACCGCGGCCACUAUCCCACCAACCGAUAUGGGGUACAGUAGCACACGCACGCACUAUAGCGAAAAACGCAAAUGUAUCAAACUAGAUAACAACAGAAUAGAACACACUCUGAA
rnacentral:lncRNA from 1 species